rnacentral:rRNA from 1 species
CCUACGGGAGGCAGCAGUGGGGAAUAUUGCACAAUGGGGGAAACCCUGAUGCAGCGACGCCGCGUGAGUGAAGAAGUAUUUCGGUAUGUAAAGCUCUCUCAGCAGGGAAGAUAAUGACGGUACCUGACUAAGAAGCUCCGGCUAAAUACGUGCCAGCAGCCGCGGUAAUACGUAUGGAGCAAGCGUUAUCCGGAUUUACUGGGUGUAAAGGGAGCGCAGACGGCAAGGCAAGUCUGAUGUGAAAGUCCGAGGCUCAACCUCGGGACUGCAUUGGAAACUGUCUGGCUAGAGUGCAGGAGAGGUAAGUGGAAUUCCUAGUGUAGCGGUGAAAUGCGUAGAUAUUAGGAGGAACACCAGUGGCGAAGGCGGCUUACUGGACUGUAACUGACGUUGAGGCUCG